UUGCCUAUCGGUCUUUAAGUGUCUGUGUGGCUACAAAGGACGGGGCAAAGCAAAGUCCUUUUAAAAACCCAGAGUGGGAGAGGAUUUACAACUUCCCUUUGGAUCCUGUCUGAGGAAACAACU